rnacentral:rRNA from 1 species
AUUGAACGCUGGCGGCAGGCUUAACACAUGCAAGUCGAACGAGUGGCGGACGGGUGAGUAAUGCCUGGGAAACUGCCUGAUGGAGGGGGAUAACCACUGGAAACGGUAGCUAAUACCGCAUACUAUCGGAUGUGCCCAGAUGGGAUUGGCUAGUAGGUGGGGUAAAGGCUCACCAGGGCGACGAUCCCUGGCGGGUCUGAGAGGAGGACCAGCAACACUGGAACGGGGACACGGUCCAGACUCCUACGGGGGGCAGCAGUGGGGAAUAUUGCACAAUGGGCGCAAGCCUGAUGCAGCCAUGCCGCGUGUAUGAAGAAGGCCUUCGGGUUGUAAAGUACUUUCAGCGGGGAGGCGUUACCCGCAGAAGAAGCACCGGCUAACUCCGUGCCAGCAGCCGCGGUAAUAC